rnacentral:rRNA from 1 species
AUGAUCAGCUCCAGGAAGCUAGCUCAACUUUCCAAGAAGUGGCAGGGCAUUGGCGCCAUCGGGCGAAGGUUCGCAACGUCAGACAAGGAUAUCCACCCAUCAUGCAGCUCAGUCGCAGGCAAGGGCCACUUCGUCGUCUACUCUUCCGACGGGAGGCGGUUCGAGAUCCCCCUGGUGUGCCUCCGCACAACAGUCUUCGAGGAGCUCCUGAGGAUGUCUCAGGAGGAGUUUGGGUUCACAAGCGAUGGGAGGAUCACGCUGCCUUGUGAUACAACGACAAUGGAAUAUGUGAUGUGUUUGCUAAGGAGAGAGGCCUCCCAAGAUGUUGAGAGGGCACUCCUCAGUUCCAUAGUGACGACUUGCCACCGCCCAAGCAGAGUGAUGCAACCAAACAGCGGACUUAACCAGCAAUUCGCUGUGCACAGCUCCUGA